rnacentral:rRNA from 1 species
UACGUAGGGGGCAAGCGUUGCCCGGAAUCAUUGGGCGUAAAGAGCGCGUAGGCGGCCCAGUAAGUCCGCUCUGAAAGUCAGGGGCUCAACCCCUGAAUGCGGGUGGAUACUGCUGGGCUAGAGUCCGGAAGAGGCGAGUGGAAUUCCUGGUGUAGCGGUGAAAUGCGCAGAUAUCAGGAGGAACACCGAUGGCGAAGGCAGCUCGCUGGGACGGUACUGACGCUGAGGCGCGAAAGAGUGGGGAGCAAACAGG